CCUGGUGGCUCAGAGGUUAAAGCAUCUGCCUAGAAUGCAGGAGACCCAGGUUCAAUCCCUGGGUCAGGA
rnacentral:tRNA from 1 species